UGGGCCUCGGGGCAUCGCUGUGGAGCCGCAAGACCCGGGUAUCGCCCACGUAGCCGACGACGCUGUACCGGUUCUUCAGAGGCAGAGAGAGAUGAAGUGGAAGUGAGAGAGAAAGACUGGUAUCAGGGAGAAACAUCGCUCAGUUGCACCCCAAGGUGCCCUGACCGGUGGUGAUCCCUACUCCAACUCAGGAAAAUUUCCCCUGCCGACAGAUCCCCUCUAUUUGAGGAGCCCGUGCCCCGAACCUGCUCGGAGCAGCGUGUCCUUCCCCUUCUCCAGGAGGCGGUGGAGGCGGCGCACGCAGAUGUCCUGCAGGAAGAAUCUCCUGACAUCCGCAUCAGGGAGCAGCACCAACUCGCGCCAGGUGAUCUGGGGCGCCAUGGCCGUGGUGGUCCAGGAGCACAGGUCCUCGUCCAGGGAGAGGAAUUCGGUGCCGUUGUAGGCGAACUGACUGAACCCGUGGAGGAAGCGCCCGUCCGACCCCACGACGCAGCCGGUCAUUUCCUGGAGGGUGUGAGACCCUGACCCCGCCCAAGGGCACCCUCGGCUCCAGUCUGGAACUGGCAGCGUCACUAUGGAACCGCAGGAUCUCCGUGUCGUCCAGGUAGAUGACGACGGUGUAGCGGUUCUUCUCGCCAAGGGGGUCAGGGUCAGGGUCCGGGACAGCAGGAGGAGCAGGGCUCGGGGCCCCAUGACGGAGAUCAACCAAACCUUCUGGUGGAGGAGUCCUG